AAACUUUCAACAACGGAUCUCUUGGUUCUGGCAUCGAUGAAGAACGCAGCGAAAUGCGAUAAGUAAUGUGAAUUGCGGAAUUCAAUGAAUCAUCGAAUCUUUGAACGCACAUUCCGCCCGCUAGUAUUCUGGGGGGCAUGCCUGUCCGAGCUUCAUUU
rnacentral:rRNA from 1 species